CUAUUCAUGGAUGCACAGAUGGCACCAUCCUCCAGGCCCAUUAUGCUCACAGAUGAAUCUACUUAAUUGGCCUGGUUUCUGGCUGUGGGGCUGCAGAGUGGACCGGACCUGCAGGAGGAAAACAGCCUCCUACAAAAGCUGCCUUUUCUCGCCCUUCCCGGUCUGACCUGAGCCUCGCAGCUCCACCAUCGGCUCUGCCAGACUGCCUCUCCCAACUCCACCACACCACGAUCCGGACUCCACUGAAAAGCCUCCCGACUCAAGCCUCCAUCCGCCAUUUUCAGCAGAUGGAAAGCAGGUAGAGCAUUAAAACCCCAAGCCCCAGGUCCCAGACUAACGCAGUGUGGAUUAUGGCUUUUUCUGGAGAGUCAGUGGAGAGUCUGGAGGAAAUUCCUGCUCAUGUGUGGAGCGGCUUGCCAGAGUAUCUGAAUCUGGGACCGUCGGCUGUAAAUCCGAGUCGCAUCGGUGUUUGGGCCACCAAAGUGAUCCCAAAGGGGAAACGGUUUGGUCCAUUUAUUGGAGAGAAGAAGAAGAGGUCACAGGUCACCAGUAAUGUUUACAUGUGGGAGGUUUAUUUCCCGGCUCGGGGAUGGAUGUGCAUCGAUGCUACAGACCCGCUGAAGGGGAACUGGCUCCGGUACGUGAACUGGGCUCGUUCCAGUGAGGAGCAGAAUCUGUUUCCACUGGAGAUCAACAGAGCCAUUUACUACAAAGUUUUGAGGCCUAUCGGGCCAGGAGAGGAGCUGCUGGUGUGGUACACAGUGGAAGACAACCCCGAGAUAACAGCUGCGCUGGAAGAAGAAAGAGCCAGCAGAAGGAGCUCACCCAGGUCGAAACGAGCUAGAAGAAAGUUGGUGGAGAAAGCCAGACAGGCUGGUUUGGGUGGAUUCAAGAAAACUAGUGGAACCAAAACUACUGUCAGGGAAAUGUGGGAGGGGGGAGAAGGUGAUAAGGAGGAGGGUGAGAGACCAUCAGGGACCUCUCAGGAACUCCAUGAAGCCCAUCCUGUAGGAAGCACCAACCACAAGCAUUUGCAGGACACGUCCGCAUCAGGGGUGGACAGGGGAAACUAUGAGGAAGAUGAAGAAGAAGAGGACGAGGAAGAAGAGAAUGGCGAUGACAGUUGUGAAAUGCAGCACCAAACCUCAAAGCAAUUAUCCGAGCAGUCGAGCUCGUUGCUAUCGGGCAGUGGAGAAAGCCAUAAGGAUCCACAGGAGAACCCCCUGCUAGCUCAGCGGGGUGGAGACCCUGAGCAGGACCCCGACGGGGAGCUGGAGGAAGACCUCCAAGGAGAAUCCUAUCCCUGCGACCACUGUGAGCGCCACUUCUCCUCCAGACAGGGUCUGGAGCGCCAUAUACACGUUCAUGGCAUCAGCAAUCAACAAGCACAAGUCUUUAAGUGCCGAUACUGCAAUAAGCCUUUCAGCUCACAAGUCGGGCGCCGGCGGCAUGAAAGACGGCAUGAAAACGGAUCCAAGAAGAUGGCCGGCUCCCAGGCUGGAGUUGGCGGCCUCCUCAGUCCUGCAGGGCAGACUGAUUCAAGUCCUGACUGUACCAGUCCAACCAGUCAGCUCAUAGCCAUAGGGUCCCAGUUUGACAUGCAGAGGAAAGAGUUGGGACCCCACACUGAUCGUCCGUCGAUGUUUGAUGAGAACGGGGAGUCAAAGGAGCUUCAUCCCUGCAAGUACUGCAACAAAGCUUUCGGCACACACACCAACAUGCGCAGGCACCAACGCAGGAUACAUGAGCGCCACCUGUUGCCGAAGGGAGUUCGUAGGAAAGGCAUGCUGCUGCAAGAGGCGUCGGCGCAGCAGCCGGGCGCGUCCCCGAGUGCCAGCCCUCCUUUGGUCUACAUGCCCAGUGCCGACACGGAGGACGAGGCAGACAGAGACGAUUACGCCAUCGACAUAUCCAAAAACAUCUCGGAGAACCUCAGCUUCUACAUUGAUGGAAAGAUUGUGUCAACGAGCACGGCAAGCAGCUGUGAGGUGAUAGAAGUGGACACGAGGUCGGCGGCGUUGUUUGGCCUGGACACAGUCAUCAUCAGCCCAAAUCAGAUUAGUCAAGCACUGAAGGUGGAGGCGAGAACGAACGCCACAAAGCCAAUCACCAGUAAUGAGCAGCCUGCAGCAAAAAGAAGAACGUCAACUCCCCCUCUCGUCACCAGCCUGAAAGUGGAGACGGAAACUGCUCCUUCGCCUUCAUCCUCUACGUCGUCCUCAUCCAACCUGUUGGUAGGGGGACUUUUCCAGCAGGAUUCAUCAACACUUCAGAGGGAGAAAACCAUUUAUCUCUCCCCUAAACUCAAACAGCUCCUUCAGACGCAAGACUUCCAAAAGUCAACAAUAGCCCUCAUUACUGAGAGCCACAGACUGGCCACACUUCCAGGCGCUUCAGGAAAGUACAAAAGGAGGACUGGUUCUCCGCCUUCAUCCCCACAGCUCAGUCCGACUGUCAAAACUGAAAGCUGUAAAACAGAAGCAGCGAGCGGAAACAACCUCAAGGUGCCAAAGCUGGAAAGCCAUAGUGUGCCACCUCCUGAAAGCCUCCUAGAUGAGGAAGAUGAGGAUUCUCCGAGCUCCUCCGGAAGCCACACCUCCGGAAGCCGCUCCUCCGGAAGCCACGCCUCCUCCAGCGGCAGGGGGAGUUCCUGCAACCAGCAGCCCUUGGAUCUGUCCAGCUCUGUCUGCAAGCGAAGCGACGGCCCAAAUCAGGCGACUGGAGACUCGGCUCUGGAUUUAAGUGUAAACCGGAAAGCCACCACAGAACCCGAUUUAAAAGGCGGGCAAGCGCCACAGCCGCCGGUAAAGAAGAAAAAGCCAAACACGAGCAUGUUGGAAAAGGUUCUAAUGAACGAGUACGUUGGUCUAACGUUGCCAGGAGAGGAGGGGCCUGCAACCCUGGCAACCCUAAGCUGUUUUCGUACUCAGUCGCCAAACGUUGCAUCAGAUUCUGCUCACCCGUCUCCACCCUCCCUGACUCCAGUCACAAUAAACCCCUCCUCACCCAGCUCUUCUAGUGUAACGUCUCCGACUCCACCUCCUCCCAUUCUGCCCACUAUACCGUCACCUCCAACGCUCCCCAGCUCACCGCAGCCUUCAGAUUCACCCCUCCCAGUCCUCUCGCCAAAAAUGUCUCCAAUAGCUGAUGAGCCCAAGCAUCUGUCAGAUUCUAUUGAAAACUACUCAUCGGAGGAAAACAAGGAUGAAGAGGAGAGUUACAUUUCUGAGCCACAAGAUUACCCAAGCACUCCACUCCAAAGUCCCUCCAAUCAGUCGGUAGCAUCAAGUCCACCUGGACCUAAAACAGAAGAUCUGGCUAAAAAUAUUGAUGUUUCUCUUUCUACAGUAUGUAACAGUCUAACAAACGGCAGCUUUACCCAGGUUGAAGAAACGGAAAUAUCUUUGAAAGCCGAUUUUGCUGCUCUUUCCCCUCAACCAGAAUUGCCGUCAUCUUCCAAAUCCCCUCCUGUUGCAUCACACAGGUCCUCUCCAUCAGCUGCUUUGCAAUCUCCCCCACAGAUUAAAGUGAAAGAAGAGCCUCUUCACUGUGUAGACGACUUGUCUGCUGUAAGCCACUCACCUCACGACUCCUCGCUUCCGCCUGCUGCUCUCGAUAAACUGUCCACUGAAAUCCGGGAGGGAGAGGAAGCGGACUCCACGUACUGCAAGACCUUCGUGUGCAAUGUGUGUGAGGAGCCAUUCGACUCCAUCAAAGAGCUCAGCGGCCACAUCACAGAUCACGCUGCUGACUGGCCCUUCAAAUGCGAAUUUUGCGUCCAACUGUUUGGCGACGAGGCGGCCGUUUUGGCCCACCGCUCAGCGCUGCAUGGGGUGGGUCGCAUCUUCCUGUGCUCCGUCUGUUCCAAAGAGUUUGCCUUUCUCUGUAACCUUCAGCAGCACCAAAAGGACCUUCACCCCAACGAGUCAUGCACGCAUACUACUGUAGAGAGCGGCAAGCUGAGGUCGCAGAAUUACACUGACCCGUCCAGAGCCAAAGAGGAGAGCGCUCCCUCGACACCAGUGCCAGGAACGCCCAAUAAAAAUGACGUGUCGGCGAAAGAGGAGGCCGAUGUGAACGGGAAUAACACAGAAGACCCCAACGAGGAGCUGUACACUACAAUAAAGAUCAUGGCUUCAGAGGGAGGGAAGCCUAAAGGUCCCGAUGUCCGACUUGGCAUCAAUCAACGCUAUCCCAGUUUCAAACCACCACCUUUCCCCUACCACAGCCGCUCUCACACUGGUUCGGUGGCCUCUGCUACAAACUUCACCACCCACAACAUUCCCCAAACUUUCAGUACUGCCAUCCGCUGCACCAAAUGCGGCAACAGCUUUGACAACAUGCCCGAGCUGCACAAGCACAUACUGGUGUGUGCCAACGCCAGCGACAAGAAGCGUUAUACUCCCAAGAAAAACCCGAUUCCCCUAAAGCAAAUUGUGAAGAGCCCCAAUGGAAUGGUGUCGCCCACCACAACAGCGGAGGCUGCGCCGGAGGUCGGCGCCGUCGCAGGUCAGAGUGCGUUCCGUCGGAUGGGGCAACCAAAGAAACUCAACUUCAAUCAGGACACGGGGAAAACGAAAAUGAGCGCCCUGAGUAAGAAGAAGAACCAGCUGGUCCAGAAGGCAAUCUCGCAGAAACAUAGAACCGUUAGUACUGCAAAGAAGGUGGUGGUCAAAUCUGAAGAUGUGCCGCUGUCCAAUGUCUGCCCCCACUGCAGCCGGGAGUUCACCUACACGGCUAGUCUGCAUAAACACAUGGUCAUCAGCUGCCCCAUGAAACCUGCCGUCACUAAAAAGGGCAAGAAAGGGUUGGCAGAGGUGAAAAAAGAGGCUGUUUCUUUAGUGGAUAAGAACACAAAUAGGAAGAGACUUCCAGAAGACGAUGUGCAGACAGAGCCACAGGCUAAACCUGCGGGAAAGAGAAGAGCGCGAAGUUUAACUGCAGCAGAGCCUGAAUCCACUGAGGUGAGCAAAGGAAAGCCUCCUUCUGCAGUGGGUCGGUUAAAAAGGCCUGCCGCGCUCUCUGCACCCAUUUCCGCCCGCAAAAAACCCAAAAAGGGCCAAGCUGUGGCUCUACCUCCCCCUCCUCCUCCUCCUGACACUCCCAGUGACACAGCCCAACGGCCAACCAUGAGAACGCAGCGUACGGGCAAAAAGCCAGCGACUAAGAGAUCAGCAGUGGUCAAACCGCCACCAACAGCGCUGCCGGCACAGCUGAAGAAAGAGGAGCGCGUCUCGCUCAGAAAGAGGGACCGGGCCGGGGGUCCGGUCACCAGGAGCUCACAGAUGGCCAACGCUUCUCCUCCUGCUGAGGUGAAGACUGAGGAGCAACCGGUGCAAGAGACGAAAGACCCCCAGGAGUUGCCGAUGAAGUAAGCCAUGGCGACCGCGUCGGGUUUCUCUGUGGACUCCAGACUCCACUUAUCAGAAGCAACAUCUGGUUUGAUUUUCUGUUCAGACGCCUUCCUGGAGGAGGAAUCAACAGAUUAUAAUGCUGCCAACACCAAAACCUUCUCUAUUGAUGACACACCUGACCCUGUCGUUCAGUGACUGACCCUGCCUCUGCUGGACCGCGCUAUUGGCCAGACGUUUGCUGCAGAUAACUGUAUCUGUAGACUGGAAAACUGCUUCCCAGCUCCUCUGUUAACAUGUUUCUCCAGUAGAGAAGCUGCUACUGUCAUUAAAGUAAAUAGCAGGAGCAUUAAAGGGCCAGUAUUACAUGUUUUCCAGGCACAGAGUGCCAUUUUACAGCACAACCAAGUAGCCGUUAACUUCAGCUGUUAAAGAAAUACUUCAUACAGCUCUGGGAAAAAUUAAG